rnacentral:rRNA from 1 species
GAUGAACGCUGGCGGCGUGCCUAAUACAUGCAAGUCGAGCGAACAGACGAGGAGCUUGCUCCUCUGACGUUAGCGGCGGACGGGCGAGUAACACGUGGAUAACCUACCUAUAAGACUGGGAUAACUUCGGGAAACCGGAGCCAAUACCGGAUAAUAUAUUGAACCGCAUGGUUCAAUAGUGAAAGACGGUUUUGCUGUCACUUAUAGAUGGAUCCGCGCCGCAUUAGCUAGUUGGUAAGGUAACGGCUUACCAAGGCAACGAUGCGUAGCCGACCUGAGAGGGUGAUCAGCCACACUGGAACUGAGACACGGUCCAGACUCCUACGGGAGGCAGCAGUAGGGAAUCUUCCGCAAUGGGCGAAAGCCUGACGGAGCAACGCCGCGUGAGUGAUGAAGGUCUUCGGAUCGUAAAACUCUGUUAUUAGGGAAGAACAAAUGUGUAAGUAACUAUGCACGUCUUGACGGUACCUAAUCAGAAAGCCACGGCUAACUACGUG